AGGUUCCACAGGUGCAGCACGUACUCCCGCGGCCCCUCCUCCCAGAUUUCCUUGCAUUCGGACCAAAUCAUUCCUGCGGGAGAGUGAGAAGCGAAUGUUCUUUAGGCAGAGAGAUUUGUAAUGUGCCCACCUAGGAGGCAGGAGAUCUGGAAUUUGAAUCUGGAAGGCCUGUCCCUAAAGUCUGUGCCUUGACCACUGUGUUAUUCUGCCUCUUCAGAACUAAAAAAUGGAUUCAGAGCCAGGACUGUGUGGAAAAGACUCUUGAAUAUUUUGUAAGUGACAUUAAGGAGUUUUAUAGCCGCUCAAACCUGGGAAAGACUUGACAUCGUACCAGUCCAUUCUAUGUACUACACUUGGCCUGCAUACUUAGGAGGUUAAUGUAGUAAAAGAAUUGCUAAGUGG